rnacentral:lncRNA from 1 species
UGGCAUGUCAACUGUUCUCUCAGCUACUGUUACCUGCUCUGCAUGAGGUUCCUCGUCUGCAAGUGCAACAUUGCUUUUCACAUCCUCAUUGAGCUCGCGGAUGUUUGCAUCAGUCCUUUCGCUGAUUGCUUCAGUUUCCUUGGGUUCAGUGUCCUUCACCUCUUCUGCCGGCAUGUCACUAGCUGAUGCAUUUUCUUCCACCUCAACAGGUUCAACAUUCUUGAUCUCUUCUAGUUCUGGCUCUUGUGCUCGUGGAAUAUCAACUGUUGCCUCAGUUGCUGUUACAUGCUCUUCAGGAGCUGCCUCGUCUGCAGGAGUAACAUUGCUUGUCACAUCCCCGGUGAGCUCGCUGAUGUUUGCAUCAGUGCUCUCGUUAAUUGCUUCAGUUUCCUUGGCUUCAAUUUCCUUCACCUCUUCCGCUGGCAGGUCACCUGCUGAUCUGUUUUCUUCCACCUCGUCAGGUUCGACAUUCUCGAGCUCUUGUAGUUCUGACACUUGUGCUUGUGGUAUAUCAACUGCUGCCUCAGCUGCUACUACAUGCUCUUCUGGAGCUGCCUCAUCUGCACGAGUAACAUUACUUUUCACAUCCUCAGUGAGUUCACUGAUGUUUGCAUCAGUGCUUUCGGUUAUUGCUUCUGUUUCUUUGGCUUCAGCGUCCUUCACCUCUUCUGCCGGCAGGUCACUUGCUGAUAUGUUUUCUUCCACUUCAACAGGUUCAGUAUUCUUGAUUUCUUCUAGUUCUGGAUCUUGUGCUUGUGGUAUGUCAACUGUUGCCUCAGUUGCUAUCACAUGCUCUUCAGGAUCUGCCUCGUCAACAUUAGUUUUGACAUCCUCAGUGAGCUCACUGAUGUUCUCAUCAGUGCUCUCAUUGAUUGCUUCAGAGUUCUUCACCUCUUCUGUCUGCAUGUCACUUGCUGACAUGUUUUCUUCCACCUCAACAGGUUCAGUAUUCUUGAUCUCUUCUAGUUCCAGCUCCUGUGCUUGUGGUAUGUUAACUGUUGCCUCAGUUGCUAUUACAUGUUCUUCAGGAGCUGCCUCGUCUGCAAGCGCAACAUUAGUUUUGACAUCCUCACUGAGCUCACUGAUGUUCGCAUCAGUGCUCUCGUUGAUUGCUUCAGUGUCCUUCACCUCUUCUGCCUGCAUGUCACUUGCUGACAUCUUUUCUUCCACUUCAACAGGUUCAGUAUUCUUUAUCUCUUCUACUUCUGGCUCUUGUACUUGUGGCAUAUCAACUGUAUCAUCAGCUACUGUUAUAUGUUCUUCAGGAGCUGCCUCAUCUGCAAGAGCAACAUUGUUUUUCACAUCUUCAGUGAGCUCAGUGUUGUUUGCAUCAGUGUUCUCAUUGAUUGCUUCAGUCUCUAUGGCUUCAGUAUCCUUCACCUCUUCUGCUGGCAGAUAAUUUGCUGAUAUGUUUUCUUCCACUUCAGCAGGCUCAGUACUCUUGGUCUCUUCUAGUUCUGGCCCUUGUGCUUCUGGUAUGUCAACUGUUGCCUCAGUUGCUAUUACAUGCUCUUCAGGAGCUGCCUCGUCUGCAGGAACAACAUUGCUUGUCACAUCCUCAGGUAGCUCACUGGUGUUUGCAACAGUUCUCUCGUUGAUUGCUUCAGUUUCCUUCACCUCUUCUGCUUGCAGGUCACUUGCUGAUCUAUUUUCUUCCACCUCAACAGGUUCAGUAUUCUCGAUCUCUUCUAGUUCCGGCUCCUGUGCUUGUGGUAUGUCAACUGUUCUCUCAGUUACUGUUACCUGCUCUGCAUGAGGUUCCUCGUCUGCAAGUGCAACAUUGCUUUUCACAUCCUCAUUGAGCUCGCUGAUGUUUGCAUCAGUCCUUUCGCUGAUUGCUUCAGUUUCCUUGGGUUCAAUUUCCUUGACCUCUUCUGCUGACAGGUCACCUGCUUCAGUAUUCUUGAUCUUUUCUAGCUCCGGCUCUUGUGCUUGUGGUAUAUCGGCUGUUGUCUCGGCUACUGUUACAUGUUCUUCAUGAGCUGCCUCAUCUAUAAGAGCAACGUUGCUUUUCAUAUCUUCAGUAAGCUCACUGAUGUUUGCAUCACUGCUCUCGUUGAUUGCAUCAGUUUCCUUGGCUUCAGUGUCCUUCACCUCUUCUGCCAGCAUGUCAUUAGCUGAUGCGUUUUCUUCCACCUCAACAGGUUCAACAUUCUCAAUCUCUUCUAGGUCUGGCUCUUGUGCUCGUGGAAUAUCAACUGUUGCCUCAGUUGCUGUUACAUGCUCUUCAGGAGCUGCCUCGUCUGCAGGAGUAACAUUGCUUGUCACAUUCCCGGUGAGCUCGCUGAUGUUUGCAUCAGUGCUCUCGUUAAUUGCUUCAGUUUCCUUGGCUUCAAUUUCCUUCACCUCUUCUGCUGGCAGGUCACCUGUUGAUCUGUUUUCUUCUACCUCGUCAGGUUCAACAUUCUCGAGCUCUUGUAGUUCUGACACUUGUGCUUGUGGUAUAUCAACUGCUGCCUCAGCUGCUGUUACAUGCUCUUCUGGAGCUGCCUCAUCUGCACGAGUAACAGUACUUUUCACAUCCUCAGUGAGUUCACUGAUGUUUGCAUCAGUGCUCUCAGUUAUUGCUUCUGUUUCUUUGGCUUCAGCGUCCUUCACCUCUUCUGCCGGCAGGUCACUUGCUGAUAUGUUUUCUUCCACUUCAACAGUUUCAGUAUUCUUGAUUUCUUCUAGUUCUGGAUCUUGUGCUUGCGGUAUGUCAACUGUUGCCUCAGUUGCUAUCACAUGUUCUUCAGGAGCUGCCUCGUCUGCAAGAGCAACAUCAGUUUUGACAUCCUCAGUGAGCUCACUGAUGUUCGCAUCAGUGCUCUCAUUGAUUGCUUCAGUAGGUUUCACCUCUUCUGCCUGCAUGUCACUUGCUGACAUGUUUUCUUCCACCUCAACAGGUUCAGUAUUCUUGAUCUCUUCUAGUUCCAGCUCCUGUGGUUGUGGUAUAUCAACUGCUGUCUCAGCUACUGUUACAUGCUCUUCAUGAGGUUCCUCGUCUGCAAGAGCAACAUUGCAUUUCACCUCCUCUGUGAGCUCACUGAUGUUUGCAUCAGCACUCUCGUUGAUUUCUUCAGUGUCCUUCACCUCUUCUGCUGGCAGGUCACUUGCUGAUAUGUUUUCUUCCACUUCAACAGGUUCAGUAUUCUUCAUCUCUUCUACUUCUGGCUCUUGUGCUUGUGGCAUAUCAAAUGUAUCAUCAGCUACUGUUACAUGUUCUUCAGGAGCGGCCACGUCUGCAAGGGCAACAUUGUUUUUCAAAUCUUCAGGGAGCUCACUGUUGUUUGAAUCAGUGCUCUCGUUGAUUGCUUCAGUCUCCACGGCUUCAGUAUCCUUCACCUCUUCUGCUGGCAGAUCAUUUGCUGAUAUGUUUUCUUCCACUUCAGCAGGUUCAGUACUCUUGGUCUCUUCUAGUUCUGGCUCUUGUGCUUCUGGUAUAUCAACUGUUGCCUCAGUUGCUAUUACAUGCUCUUCAGGAGCUGCUUCAUCUGCAGGAACAACAUUGCUUGUCACAUCCUCAGAUAGCUUGCUGGUGUUUGCAAUAGUGCUCCCGUUUAUUGCUUCAGUUUCCUUCACGUCUUCUGCUGGCAGGUCACUUGCUGAUCUAGUUUCUUCCACCUCAACAGGUUCGAUAUUCUUGACCUCUUCUAGUUCUGGCUCUUGUGCUUGUGGUAUAUCAACUGUUGUCUCCGCUACCGCUACAUGUUCGUCAUGAGUUGCCUCAUCUGUAAGAGCAACAUUGCUUUGCAGAUCUUCAGUGAACUCACUGUUGUUUGCAUCAGUGCUCUCGUUGAUUGCUUCAGUUUCCACGGCUUCAGUAUCCUUCACUUUUUCUGCUGGCAGAUCACUUGCUGAUGUGUUUCGUUCCACUUCAGCUGGUUCACUAUUCUUGAUAUCUUCUAGGUCUGGCUCUUGCGGUUGUGGUGUAGCAUGAGUUGCCUCUGUUGCUUUUGAAUAUUCAUCAGGGGCUGCCUCGUCUGCAAGAGCAACAUUGCUUUUCACAUCAUUGAUGAGCUCGCUAAUUUUUGCACCAGUACUCUCAUGAGGGAUCAUCUCAGUUUCCAUGGCUUCAGUGUCCUUGAUCUCUUCUGCUGGCAGGUCCCUUGCUAUUAUAUUAUCUUCCACUUCAACAGGUUCACUAUUCUUGAUCUCUUCUAAUUCUGUCUCUUGUGGUUGAAUACCAGUUGCCUCUGUUUUCACAUCUUCACCAGGAGCUGCCUCAUCUUCAAGAGCAACAUUGCUUUUGGCAUCUUCAGUGAGAUCACCAAUAUUUGCAACAGGGCUCUCAUAGUGGAUUUCUGCAACCUCUAUGGCUUCAUUGUCCUUCAGCUCUUCUGUUGGCAGGUCAUCUGUCGUUACAUUGUCAUGCACCUCAACGGGCUCAGUAUUCUCCACUGGUGGUAUAUCAACAUGUGCCCCAGAUUCCUGUAUGCGUUCUCUGGGAGUUUCCUCCUCAGCAAUUGCAUCAGUGCUUUUAACAUCUUUACUUUCCUCCGUCAGUAUUGCUGAUUCUAAAUUCUCUGCUUGAGUGGCAGGACUUGGGUCUGUCAUCUCGUUAUCUUCUGGUGUGGACUGCUCAGAACCAGAGGCAGUGUGAGAUGGGGAGAUCCCUUGAGGUUCAGUAGCUUCAGUGUCCCUGAAUUCAACCGGUUCUUGCUCUUGAAGCUGCUGAAUGUGAACAUCUGUCAGGAUUGCUGUGUUAUCUUCUGUUGCUAUUUGUGGCUCAUUUUCUGUCAAAUUUUCUUCAGCAUGUGUUUGAUGGGAACCUUCUUCAGUUUGAACAUCCUCACUGUUACCAAUUUUUUGUGAUUCAAGCUCCUUUGCUUGUACAUCACUAGUUGGGUCACUUGAUAGUAACUUGUCUUGAGCUGUUUCUCCAACAAUAGUCCCACUGCUCUGGUUGGAUAUUUCUUCAGCUCUCACAUCAUCAGGUUCCCCUACUAUCUCUUCGGUUUGUACUUCUUUGAUAUCAGAAGCUGCUUCUUUUGCUGUUACAUCUUCUUCUGGAACAGACAUGCUUUCUUGCGGGAUAGCUCGAGGUUCAGUGGCUUCACUGUCUCUCAUUUCUUCAGCAGGUUCUGGUUCCAGGAUCUGUGGUUCACUCACUGCCACAUUUCCUUCUGUUUUGUGAUCUUCCGACUGAGUAGCAUCACUUUGAGGCAUUUCUUGACCUUCAGUGGCUUCAUUGCUGCUCACUUCUGCUGGUUCCAUCACAAGCGACUCACUUGUGGUUAGGUUAUCUUCAUGAGUUGGGUUCUCAAUGACGGCAGCAUCCAAUUGACCAGAUGCUUCACUCACUUCAGUAAGUUCUGCAUUCUUCUUUUCUGAUUCUAGCUCCUGCACCGAUUGCAUAUCAACAGCUGGCUCUCUUGCAAUGUCACUGGUUCCUUGAGUUGUCUCCCUGGCAAAAACCUCAGUGCUUUGGUCAGAGAUUUCUUUAGUUUUGGUAUCUUUGUUGCUCUCAACACCUUUUGCUUGUUCCAAUUUUUUUACUUCUUGAUCAUCACAAGUUACUUCACUUGCUGUUAUAUUUUCUUCUGAAGCAGGCUCCUCAGAAAUGGUAACAUUGCUUUCCUGGGGGAGUGCUUCAGUUUCCUUCACGCCUACUGUUGAUUCAGUCUUUGGCCCAUCACUUGGUAUACUAUCUUCUUGAGCUGAGUCAUUCAAGAGAGAAGGAUGCCUUUGAUCAGAAACUUCUUCUUUCUCAACAGGUUCAGUGUUCUGUAUUUCUUCUGUUUCAAGCCCACGCAUUUGCUGUUCAGUCACAUCCUCACUUGUUAGCACAUUCUUUUCUUGAUCUGCCUCUUCAGUAGUUGCCACACUAGAGGUUUCAAUGAUAUUCUCAGCUGUGUUGUCCUUGAUUUCUUCUACUGAUGCUACAUUUUCUACCUCUUGGGCAUCAGAGGUUGGUCCUUCUGCUGUUACAUCAUCUUUUACAGAGUCCUCAGGAGCAGAAAUAGUUCUUUCAUGGCAGAUUUCUGGAGUCUCAGAAACUUCUGCGUGCUUAACUUCAGCUGAUGCUUUUUCCAGGGGUUGCUGGAUUUCAUCAAUCAAUGGUUCAAUUGCCAUAGAAUUGUCUUCUGCUAUUAGUUCCUCUGAAGCAGCAGCAUGACUUUGUUGAGUGAUUUCUUGAGUUUCAGUGGCUCCAGUGUCCUUCACCUCUUCUUUUAAUUCUGUCACCUGGGGCUGACAUGCUGGUACACUGUCUUCUUCAGCAAGGUUAUUGGUGACAUCAGCAUGUGGUUGACUGGAAGCUUCAUCCAUUACGACAGUUCCAGUGUUCUUAGGUUCUUCCUCUUCCAACCCUUGAACUGGUUGCAUAUCUUUUGUUGCUUCCUUAUCUUGGGUUGCAUCUUCAGCAAUUGUCACAUUGCUUUGAUCGGAGGAUUCUUCAGCUUUGGCAUCUUCAAGACCCUUUAUUUCUUCUGACUCCACAUUAUUUAAAUGUUGGAUGUCAGAACUUGGUUCAAUGAUUGUUGCAUUAUCUUCUGGAGUUGCCUCCUCAAAAGCAAUACCACUUUGUUGAACUUUUUGCUCAGUAUCAACUUCUUUGGCAUCUGCUAUUUCUUCUGCUAAUCCCUGGUUUUGCACUUCUUGAACAUCAAGAGCUGGCUCCCUUGUCACUGCAUCAUGUUCUGGAGUUGUCUCCUCAGAGGUGGACACAUUGCUCUCAUGAGAAGUUUCUUCAGUUUUUUCAGGCAGAGGGUCACUGGUUUCUUCUGUUGAUUCUUGAUUCAGCACUUCUUGAUCACCAUUCAUUGACUCGUCAGCUUGCCCAGUUUUAGGCAUAUCUUCAGGUACAUCUGUUUUCUUGCUUUUAGGCACCUCUUCAUGCACCACGUCUGCCUCCACAUCGUCAGUUUUAUCACUCGGUUGAUCUUCUGGUUUGACGGUCUCAAUAUCUUCAUCUUCUGGACAGUUCUCUUUAUCCACUUUAGCUGGUUCAACUGUUUCUGUGUUUCCAUCACUAUUAUCUGGAAGGGCGUCAGGCUCAUCCACAUUAGGCUCCAAAGAAGUUUGGACUCCAGCAGGUGCUUCAGCUACAACUUCUUCACCAGGAAUACAUGGCAUGGUUGUGGGUUGUGUGUCCUCAGUUACUUCUGCUGGUUCCAGAUUGUGGCCUUGUUGAGCGUCAAUUGUUGGCUCAACAUCAUUGUCAGGCUGCAGUGUGUCUUUGUGCACCAUUUUGCUCUCUAUUGCAGCACCUUCUACAUCUCGUUGACAAUGUUCCUUUGGCUCUUCAUUAUCAUGUUUUAGAAGGCUGGUACCUUCUGUAGUGUUCUCAACAUGGUCUAAAGAAUCAAUUGCCUCUUCGCCAUUACUUGUGCUGCUCCGAUCGGUGCUUAUUCCAUCUGGCAAAGCUUCUACCUGCUCGUUACCUUUCUGACCAUUUUCUUGUGGCUUCUCAUUCGAGAUCUUCCCUUCUUUCAUAUGACCAUUCAGAGAAGCAUGUGUACCAUUUGGAGCAUCUUCUUGAGGAAUUUCGACUACAGAGGGUGCUCUUUCUAAAACUUGAUCCUCUGAAACCUUCAUUCCUUCAGUUGAAUCCAUGGCUCUUGCCUCGUCCUUCAUCUCUGCAUGAGAUGAAAGCUUGCUAUCUAGGUUCAUUUGCAAAUGUGUUGUCCCCAGAUCCCCAGCUUCCACUUGAACUUCCUGGGAAACAAACAGGUAAAUCGAACAUUUAAAUGAAAGUACACCGAAUGCCACUCUGCGUUGGCAUAAUUACAAAAGACAGGGUGGCAAAAAGAAUACAAUGAACUCUGCAUUCUUAGAUUUAGUAUAGUUUAAAAUUAUGUGCUUUCAAUUAUAAUUCAUCAAAAGGACAUCCAACGACAUUAGGCUACUGUAGCACUACAAUACUACAAAUAUAAUUUCCUGCAUGACAGCAAUAAUUUCCGGCUGGCUAAUUAUGUCUCACUAGUAUGUGACACUGAAUGGCACAUGCAGGUUCAGUGCAUCUAAGAGUAUU